AGGUGAAAGGAGGAAUCCGGUUUAAGAUGGGCCCGCGUCCAAUUAGCUAGUUGGUGAGGUAAGAGCGCACCAAGGCGACGAUUGGUAGCCGAACUGAGAGGUUGAGCGGCCACAUUGGGGCUGAGAUACGGCCCAGACUCCUACGGGAGGCAGCAGUGGGGAAUAUUGCGCAAUGGGGGGAACCCUGACGCAGCGACGCCGCGUGAAGGAAGAAGGUCUUCGGAUUGUAAACUUCUUUGAUUAGGGAAGAGGAAGGACGGUACCUAAAGAACAAGCCACGGCUAACUACGUGCCAGCAGCCGCGGUAAUACGUAGGUGGCAAGCGUUGUCCGGAAUUACUGGGUGUAAAGGGCGAGUAGGUGGAUCACUAAGUCAGAGGUGAAAACCCAUGGCUAAACUGUGGGAUAGCAACUGAAACUAGAGAUCUUGAGUACUGGAGAGGGAAGCGGAAUUCCUAGUGUAGCGGUGAAAUGCGUAGAUAUUAGGAGGAACACCAGUGGCGAAGGCGGCUUCCUGGACAGAGACUGACACUGAGGCGCGAAAGCGUGGGGAGCGAACAGGAUUAGAUACCCUGGUAGUCCACGCUGUAAACGAUGGAUACUAGGUGUAGGUGGUAAGAAACCAUCUGUGCCGGAGUAAACACAAUAAGUAUCCCACCUGGGGAGUACAGCCGCAAGGUUGAAACUCAAAGGAAUUGACGGGGGCCCGCACAAGCAGUGGAGUAUGUGGUUUAAUUCGAAGCAACGCGAAGAACCUUACCAGGGCUUGACAUCCCUUGAACUAUCUAGAGAUAGGUAGGGCCUACGGGACAAGGAGACAGGUGGUGCAUGGUUGUCGUCAGCUCGUGUCGUGAGGUGUUGGGUUAAGUCCCGCAACGAGCGCAACCCUUAUAGCUAGUUGCCAGCAAUAAGAUGGGGACUCUAGCGAGACAGCCGUUGAGAAAACGGCGGAAGGAAAGGAUGACGUCAAAUCAUCAUGCCCCUUAUGCUCUGGGCUACACACGUACUACAAUGGCUACUACAGAGGGAAGCGAAGCCAGGAGGCGGAGCAAAUCUCAAAAAGGUAGUCCCAGUUCAGAUUGUAGGCUG
rnacentral:rRNA from 1 species